UGGAUAUUAGUUAACUAAUAACAUUUAAAUUGCAUUUAAAAAUUAAUAUAAAAUAUUAUUAUAUCUA
rnacentral:tRNA from 1 species